AUGAAUUUUUACACUCACGUCAACUCCCUAUUGCAUUGUCUUGCUGCAGAGAAGUUCCGUUUACCAACAUUCCCCUAAUGUUUUUCUCUUCCUCCACCAUUAUUGCUCCAUUCUCGCAGUUGUAACUCCAUUUGUACACUCUUCCAUCGUUGUAACACCAUUUUCGAAGCCAACACUUGCUUUCUUCCAUUUUUGCCGCUGCAACUCCUCCUUGCCAAUACUCUUGUUCUUCCAUUUCCCUCACUAUGAAGAUGUCCCAUUUUCGUUGUUGUUGCAUUCCUUCUCCAUUACUUAUGUAUUUCCAUCUUUGUGAAAAGGUGUCAUUGACAACUAAUUGUAGUUUCUCUCAAGAAGAAUAUUGUUGUAUGGUUUUGCUCCUUGCAUACUCCCUCCCUGCAUUUCAAAUAAGUAAUGGAUUGGUUCAUCUCCUUGGUUUAUAGUAACAGCCACCGCAGCCACCACAGCCACAAGGAGGAUCGAAGAGACGCCAAGAAUGGCGAACC